rnacentral:rRNA from 1 species
AGCUAGUUUAACAAAACUAACAGCUCUUUCAAGAUUAUGUGGUAGGUGGUGCAUGGCCGUUCUUAGUUCGUGAAGUGAUUCGUUCGCCCAAUCGCAUUUCCAAACAACUAACAACUCAGAAUGCUGGGCAAUAGGACGUUUAAAGUGGCUCCUUACACCUUACAAAGGAAUGGCUGAUGAGAAACAACUCGAUCCGCUCAGCGUUCUAUUGGAAUGC